UACGGGGGGUGCAAACGUUGCUCGGAAUUAUUGGGCGUAAAGCGCACGUAGGCGGUCCUCUAAGUCGGGUGUGAAAGCCCGGGGCUUAACCCCGGAAGUGCACUCGAAACUGGAGGGCUUGAGUAUGGAAGAGGGUCUCGGAAUUCCCGGUGUAGAGGUGAAAUUCGUAGAUAUCGGGAGGAACACCAGUGGCGAAGGCGGAGACCUGGGCCAAUACUGACGCUGAGGUGCGAAAGCUAGGGGAGCAAACGGG
rnacentral:rRNA from 1 species